CUCUUUUUUAAUUAGUAAAAAGUAGUCUCUGCUCAGUGAAAAUUUAAAUAGCCGCGGUAUUUUGACCGUGCUAAGGUAGCAUAGUAAUUUGUUUCAUAACUGGAAACUGGAAUGAAGGAGUUGACGAAAUUGAGGCUUUCUUAAAAAAUUUUUUGGAAGUUGAUAUUUGCUUCAAAAAGAGCAGGUGUGUUAAAGGGACGAUAAGACCCUAUAAAACUUUAUUAUAGGCGAGUUUUAUUCUUUAGAGCUAAAAAAAUUUUACUUUAAUUAAGCUGGGGCGGUACUUAUUAUUUACUCAAAAAGAAAUAGAACAGAAAUUUUUGGGGAGAAGGAUCUUUUGUAAAAGUAUAGAGAGAUAGAAUAAGUUACUUUAGGGAUAACAGCACAAUUUUUUUUUAUAGGCCUUAUAGAAGAGAAAGACUUGUGACCUCGAUGUUGAAUUUGAGGGUCUCUUUUCAAGCAGAAAUGAAACAGGGAAGUCUGUUCGACUUUUACACCCUC
rnacentral:rRNA from 1 species